AGUAUCAGCAAGUUGUCAUUUGUCAGUGUCUGAUUUGAAUCUUUCCGUUUAAAAUACUGAUUUAAAUACUGUUAAAAUACAAUUUUUUUUAAAGGCACAAAAUGUGUGAUAGUCCAUCUAAACCUCUUUAUCGUAACCAAAAAACUCAAGUUAUAAAUGCAGAAACUGAAACUUCAGAUUCAAGCUCAACAAAAUCUGAUCAAGGAUGGAGAUAUUUGACUAUAGUAGCUCUCUAUGAUGAAUUAAUACGUUUAUAUCAAUACCAAGUUGAAGAUAGAAGAAUGUUACAAGAUGGUUUUUACAAUUUUGCAGAACAAACAUUUUUACUCUAUGAAGAGUGGAGAAAAACUAUAACAGAACGCGAUGGUCUUAGAAGUGAAAUAGAUAAAAAAAUUGAUGAAAUAAAUGAUUAUAACAGGCGCCUUAAAAGUGCUAGAAAAUUGUUAGAUGACGAAACCAGGAAAAGAAAAACUGCUGAAAAUGAACGUGAUUUACUUCGGCAUCAAAUUGCAAAAUUUUGUAAUUCACUAGUUAGGGAUGGAAGGAACAAACUUGCCGAUGAUACUAAGGAACAAAUUAGUAGUAUUUAUCCAGGUAGAAUAAGUUUUAGUGAUGCUGAACGUCUUAGUGCUAUAAAAGAAGUUAACUCAACAGGUUCCAUGCUAUCUGAUUUUAGUUAUUCUCGUUCAGAGGAUGAUUUAGACUCUUCCAGAGUAAAUAAAGGAUGGAAAAGUCUGCAAAGUGAUGUAGUGGAAGAACCAUUAAGUAAAAAGCGAAGAUCUUCAACAAAGAUUGUUGAAAUUGGAAGUAAAGAUACUGUUAGAGCCACUACAACUUUAACUGUCAAUAAAGAUGGCCCUAUUACUGCUACAUCAAAAAUUGAAUCCAUUCCAAAAUCUGAUGGUGAAUGUAUUGAUCCUCCAAAGUUGGUGUUAGAAUCGUGGAAUCAACAAAAGAGAAAAGUUGGAAAUCCACAAAGAGAUGUAGGUGGUAACUACAGACAACAUUAUUUACAACAAAAAACUAUUGUGAUGCCUAACUUUUGUUCUGUUUGUGAAAAACACAUUCGUUUUGGAAAAACUGCCUAUAAGUGUAAAGAAUGCAAGCUGUUUUUCCAUGCAGAAUGUAAGGAUAUGCUACCAACACCUUGCAUACCUGUUGUAAAUACACCAACUUCAAAGAAGUUCACUGGGAUUCUUUCUGAUUACACACCUAUAAGAUCUCCAAUGGUACCAUCAUUAAUUGUACAUUGUGUCAAUGAAAUUGAGAGCAGAGGAUUAACAGAAAUGGGGAUCUAUAGGAUUCCAGGAUCUGAGAAAGAAGUUAAAGAUUUAAAAGACAAGUUCUUAACUUGCCGAAUACCACCAAACCUCAAAGAGAUUGAUAUUCAUGUAAUCUGUGGAUGUAUUAAAGAUUUUUUACGCUCCCUCACUGAACCUCUGUUAACUCAUACCCUUUGGUAUGACUUCAUUACAGCUGUGAGAGCAAAAGACCUUAAUGACAUAACACCAGCAUUGUAUGAAACUAUUUCAAAAUUGCCUCACCCUAAUAGAGAUACAUUAGCAUUUAUAAUGUUACAUUUACAAAAAAUUGCACAAAGUCCCGAGUGUAAAAUGCCUGCUGAGAAUUUAUCUAAAGUUUUUGGCCCAACCAUAGUUGGCUACUCCUGUGAUUAUCAUAAGCCAAAUAGAUUAAUAGAAGAAACUAAAUAUAUCAUUAAAGUUAUGUCACAUCUUUUGAACAUACCUUCUGAUUUUUGGACCAAUUUCAUUAAUGUGUGUCUCACUCCAUCUACGAAUAGACUUCAACAGACACCAAGUACAGAUUCUCUAUUGAGACCAACUACCACUAGAAGUUUCACUCCAGGUAAAUUAAGAAAGAAAAAAGAGGGCAAACUUUUUGGAACCCCACCAGCUUAUCAGUAGUGUAAUUGGUCUGUUGUGAAGAUGGAUUUAAUGUAAAGUUAAUUUACUUCAUAUCUUAAAGAUUUUAUUAUAGUCAUUUUCAUUUAAAAUCUAAUAGUAUAAAGGCCAUUUCAAGAUGUCACAGCUUUCUGCUUUUUUAUGGUCAAGAUUUAUCACCUGGUGUAUUUACUAGGAAAUAAUAAAUGCAUACCGCCAUUCUAGUUCCGUAAAAUGCUUGUCCAGCAGAUGGAAAGUUGUAGGGAGAGAAUGGAACUUGUGGAUAACCUGGAUAGAAGAAUGGUAAUUGUACUGGGUUGGCUAAAGGAGAUCCAUAAAAGUUCGCUGGAUUAAAUCCUGGAUAUUGCUGUUUAAAUGACUGUUGAGAAAUUCUGAAUGUUUAUCUUCUUAAAUUGAAAAAUUAUAAACGACAAUGACAAACAUAAAAAACGAAAAACACAGAAAGUAAAUACCGGUAGGUAUGCCAUCAAGUUAAUUUAGAAGCUAAGUUAAAAGAUUGAGUAAAAGUAUUUAUGUACUUGAAUAUUUAAGCUACUAUGCGUUUCUAUAAUCGAAAACGUCAUUAUUUAUGUAAAACACGGAACUUUCUUUAAAAUAACAUGUAGGUGCGAAAUUUCCAAAUCUUUUGUUUCGAAAAUUGAUCAAUAUAAUCAAGAUUUAAAUUUUGAACUGUGUCAUAUUCAUUUGAUAAUAUUUAUGAGAUAUAAAUCACAGAUUCCCAACCUUUUACAAGAAAAAAAAUCCAAUGCCCACCUUCACAUAAUAGAUAUACCAAUUAUAUAUUUCUAUUAUACCCUAGUAAUCACGAAUUAAAAAUUGAUUUUUUUUUUCUUUCCAAUGGAACUCUCAUCGGGUCAUAUUAAUUAAUUAAAAAUACAAAAUUAUGUUAAAAUAAGAUUUUUUUAAUUCAGACAAAGACCAUAGAAGUGCUGAAACAAAAGUAUAUCUAAAUAUAAAAAACUUAAAUAUUGAUGGGAUAGAUAAUUGAGGCUGGUGCAAUUUGUUACUAUCAGGUUUGCAAUUCAAUCUCUAAUCACCAAGCUCAGUAACCAAUCUAUUCCUUUUCUUAGAUAGACAUUAGUUAUUAUACUGAACUCACGUAUUUUAUCAGAAAUUUCUGUAUCAUUUCUUAAAAUCCAGAGUGGAGAGCUCAUAUUUUUUGAGCUGGGCUAUUAGUAUUUGAAUAUCACUUUUAUGUCUUAUUUUCACGAUUUCUUCUUCUUAAUUUGACGAUUCUGCUGUACCUGCAUGUAGGAAGAGGGCGAAAACCCCGGGUAGUAUAUUCAUAUUUAAAAUAUCUUACAAUCACUGUGUAAAAUCAGCAUAAAGAGCGUCCAGGUAUUGGCGGUAAGUAUGAUUUAUCAAUAUUGUUGAUAAUAUCGGAAAGUUGCUAUAUUACCCACCUCUUUCUAGGUGAAUAAAAAUUUUCCCAUAAAAGCAGCUAUGAAGUUUUUUGUUUUUAUUAAAUUCAACUCAUCAACUUUCAAUGGAUAUUAAAGUCAUCGAAUAGUAGAAAUAGUAGAAAGUAGAAGACAUUUCGUCUCAAUGUGUG